AUGACGCAGGGUCCGGGCGGGCGCACGCCCCCCGCGCCCCCCGCGCCCCCGGAGCCCGAGGCGCCCACCACCUUCUGCGCGCUGCUGCCGCGCAUGCCGCAGUGGAAGUUCGCUGCCCCCGCGGGCUUCCUGGGCCGGGGCCCCGCGGCAGCUCGGGCGGCCGGGGGCGCGGGGGCCGCCGACUCCCAGCCCGAGGCGGCCGGCCCGGCCAGCGUCCCUGCGCUGGCGGCCGCGGUCCUGGGCGCCUGCGAGCCGCGCUGCGCCGCGCCCUGUCCGCUGCCGGCGCUCAGCCGCUGCCGGGCCGCCGGGGGCAGGGGCCCGCGGGGCGCGCGGGGGGCGGCCGGGCUCGCGGACGCCAGCGCCGACGAGUGGAUCCGCAAAGGGAGCUUCAUCCACAAGCCGGCGCACGGCUGGCUGCACCCAGACGCCAGGGUCCUGGGGCCCGGGGUCUCCUACAUCGUGCGGUACAUGGGCUGCAUCGAAGUCCUCCGCUCCAUGCGCUCUCUGGAUUUUAACACUCGCACCCAGGUGACCAGGGAAGCCAUCAACCGGCUCCAUGAGGCAGUGCCUGGCAUCCGGGGCUCCUGGAAGAAGAAGGCCCCGAACAAGGCGCUAGCCUCCAUCCUGGGCAAGACCAACCUGCGCUUCGCUGGCAUGAGCAUCGCUGUGAGCAUCUCCACCGACGGCCUCAACCUGUCCGUGCCUGCCACGCGCCAGGUCAUUGCCAACCACCACAUGCAGUCUAUCUCCUUUGCGUCGGGAGGUGACACGGACAUGACUGAUUAUGUGGCCUACGUAGCCAAGGAUCCCAUCAACCAGAGAGCCUGCCACAUCCUGGAGUGCUGUGAGGGCCUCGCCCAGAGCAUCAUCAGCACCGUGGGCCAAGCCUUCGAGCUGCGCUUCAAACAGUACCUGCACAGCCCCCCCAGGGUGGUCCUGCCCCCGGAAAGGCUGACCAGGCCCGAGGAGUCGGCCUGGGGGGACGAGGAGGAAACAGAACACAAUUACUACAACAGCAUCCCAGGGAAGGAGCCGCCCCUGGGUGGGCUGGUGGACUCCAGGCUCGCCCUAACUCAACCCUGUGCCGUCGGCGCCCUCGGCCAGGGCGUAUCGCCUGCUCGAAGGGACACCCGCAGUCUGCCGUGGGACCUGGGCCCCUCAGGCCCACCAGGGGAUGGCUACGUGCAGGCUGACGCACGGGGCCCCAGAGACUAUGAGGACCACCUGUACGUCAACACGCAGGGCCUGGAUGCCCCAGAGCCACUGCAGCCGGAGGACAGCCCCAAGAAGGACCUGUUCGACAUGCGACCCUUCGAGGACGCUCUGAAGCUGCACGAGUGCUCUGCGGGGGCGGGGGCGGCGGUAGCGCCCCUUCCCUUGGAGGACCAGUGGCCCAGCCCCCCCACCCGCCGGGCCCCCAUCGCCCCCACGGAGGAGCAGCUGCGGCAGGAGCCCUGGUACCAUGGCCAGAUGAGCCGAAGGGCCGCAGAGAAGCUGCUUCGAGCCGACGGGGACUUCCUGGUGCGCGACAGCGUCACCAAUCCCGGGCAGUACGUCCUCACAGGCAUGCACGCGGGGCAGCCCAAGCACCUGCUACUUGUGGACCCUGAGGGCGUGGUGCGGACGAAGGAUGUGCUCUUUGAGAGCAUCAGCCAUCUGAUCGACUACCACCUGCAGAAUGGGCAACCCAUCGUGGCGGCCGAAAGCGAGCUGCAUCUGCGCGGCGUGGUCAAACGCGAGCCCUGAGCCAGCAUGUUUAGAGAUGUGCAACCAUCCUCUACCUAAUUCCAGAACAUUCUACCACCCCAAAAGGUGAUGGUUCUCAGCUCCCAGCUCCUGUCCUGCUCCGCAGAUGCCCCUGUUGUGGCCUUACGGGCUCCUCAGCCUCUCCCUCCGGACCCUGGUCAGGCUGGAACCGCCACUGUCUCUCCUUCCCCCGCAUAGGCCUCUCUCCAGCCGUCCCUGGGCGGGGUCAACAAGGCCAAGAAAUGGGGGCCCACGACCCCUUUAUCCUGCUGACGCCCUGCCUGCCUCCACCCUCUGCCUGGAGUGAGGGUGUCCAUACCAAAGACAGAACCUUUUCUCACCUCUAAAGAAAACACAUUAAAGACAAGCAGUCCUCCAUCUCCAAGCCCUGGCCAGGGCCCCCGAUGGGUUAAGGAGGCCCACCUCUUUUCCCAGAUGGACUUCAGCUUCUCUCCCUGGAAAGAGGGAUUCCUGUCCUUGACUGGUUCAGUUUUUCCACCUGAAAAAUCAGUGCACAGUUGUCUUUUAUGGGGAAGAAUUGAGAUGCUUUGGGUCCUCAGGCCGGGGCACCUGCUGAUGUUGAAGGGGCGGGUAGCCUUGGGGCCCAGCUGGGAUGGGGGGCAUCCAGGCAAGGCCAGCACAACCGGCUCGGGGGUGGGGGGCGGUGGGUGGUUGUGGGACUCUGCCCUCCCGGCUGCCAACCUGCAUGGACAUUUGGGAUCUGCUGGUAACACGACCCUGAGGAAAUGAACCCACCUGCACAUUGAGAGGCCCUCUGGCUGGAAGGCUGAGGCCAGUGUCCCAGGGGCAGAGCCAAGGCCCACGGUGUGGCCUUUCGGGGCUGGAGGAUGUGGGGACUGGAGGGGGGGAUGGGGAAGAGGGCGCUGGGCCUGUGGGGCAGUGGUCUGCUGUCCGAGAACCCCUGGCAUCUCCCUCACACCUGUUUUUACCCCGAGAUAAAGCUUCCCCAACACCCCCGUCUUCCCCUUGGAAACAUCUGUAUUUCCUGAAUGCUGCAAACCUCUUUCAAGAUG